CCAGCACCCCGAGUGGUCGGGACGAUUAUUGGGCCUAAAGCAUCCGUAGCCGGUUUUACAAGUCCUCCGUUAAAUCCAGCUGCUUAACAGAUGGGCUGCGGAGGAUACUAUAAGACUAGGAGGCAGGAGAGGCAAGCGGUACUCAGUGGGUAGGGGUAAAAUCCGUUGAUCCAUUGAAGACCACCAGUGGCGAAGGCGGCUUGCCAGAAUGCGCUCGACGGUGAGGGAUGAAAGCUGGGGGGAGCAAACCGGAUUAGAUACCCGGGUAGUCCCAGCUGUAAACGAUGCAGACUCGGUGAUGGACUAGCUUUAUGCUAGUCCAGUGCCGCAGGGAAGCCGUUAAGUCUGCCGCCUGGGUAGUACGGUCGCAAGACUG
rnacentral:rRNA from 1 species